GUCUUUUAUUUUCUGUUCCUCUAAGGGAAGAGAGACCAAAGAGAAUUCUACUUUGACCCUGGCUUAAGAGUGGAACAUAGAUGUCUAUAAAACUAUGUGGUACCAGCAUGUUAUGAAGAAUAAGCAAGAAGAAAGAGAAGGAGAAGAAGCAGGAGGAGGAGGAGAGAAGGAAAGGGAGGAGGAGGAGGAGAAAAAGAUGGUGGUAGAGGAGGAGGAGAAGAAGAAGAAGGAGGAGAAGGAGAAGGAGAAGAAGGAGCAGGAGGAGGAGGAAGAAGAAGAAGAGGAGAAGGGAACUCACAUGCUACCUGUGUGAGUCACAUGUCAGUGCAAUUUCUGGAGGUCAAUUGUAGCCCUGAAGUCUCAGAACAAUGGCAAAAAGAAAUACGGAGGGCAUGAUACAUUUGGCAGACUAAAAUUCUCAAGAUUCCUAUGCAGUCGAGUUUUACCAUAUGACUGAGUUCCAACAAAGAAAUAUGAGUAGAAGAUUGUAUAAGCAUCAUUUUUGACCCAGGGCUUUAAGAAGCAGACUAUGGAAAUGAUGUUAGACAAAAAGCAAAUUUGAGCAAUUUUGUUAUUCGGGUUCAAAAUGGGUCGUAAAGCAGCAGAGACAACUCUCAAAACAUCAGCAACACAUUUGGCGCGGGAACUGCUAAUGAACGUACAGUGGAGUGGUGGUUCAAGAAGUUUUGCGAAGGAAACGAGAGGCUUGAAGACGAAGAGUGUAGUGGCCAGCCAUUGGAAGUAGACAACGACAAAUUGAGAGCAAUCAUUGAAGCUGAUCCUCUUACAACUACAGGAGAAGUUGCCAAGGAACUCACCAUCAAUCAUUCUAUAGUAGUUUGGCAUUUGAAGCAGAUCGGAAAGGUGAAAAAGCUUGAUAAGUGAAUGCCUCAUGAACAGAGCAAAAAUUUUAAAACAUUGUUGUUUUGAAGUGACGUCUUCUCUUAUUUUACACAACAAUGAACCAUUUCUGGAUCGAAUUAUGACAUGUGAUGAAAAGUGGAUUUUAUAUGACAAGCUGCAAAAACCAGCUCAGUGGUUGGAUGGAGAAGAAGCUUCAAAGCACUUCCCAAAGCUGAACUUGCACCAACAAAAGCUCAUGGUCACAAUUUGGUGGUCUGCCGCCAGCCUGAUCUACUACAGCUUUCGGAAUCCCAGCGAAACCAUUAUGUCUGAGAAAUAUGCUCAGCAAAUCGAUGAGAUGUGCCAAAAACUUCAAGGCCUGCAGCCGGCAUUGGUCAACCAAAAGGAUCCAAUUCUUCUCUACCACAACGCCUGACCACAUGUCACAUAACCAACCCUUCAAAAGUUGAAUAAAUUGGUCUACAAAAUUGCCUUAUCUGCCAUAUUCACCUGACCUCUCACCAACCAACUACCACUUCUUCAGUUUGUCUCUUCCAGAAUCAAAGCUAUAAAACUACAAAUGGUUCUCCAAAUGGAGCCCCAGAUGCAGUCCAUGACUAAGAUCUACUGCGGACCUCUGGACCGGCCUGCUAGCCCAGCUCCCACAUUAAUGACAUCAAAGGCACCCCUCCCGAGGAAAUCUCAACUGCAUGACACCUACUACGCCCCAAUUCAGCAGGAAGCAGUUAGAGUGGUCGUUGGCCAACCUCCCCAACAGCACUUGGGUUUUCUGUUGAGAUGGGGGACUGAGAGACAGGACUAGCUGGAUUUCCUAGGCCAACUAAGAAUCCCUAAGCCUAGCUGGGAAGGUGACUACACCCACCUUUAACCACUAGGCUUGCAACUUAGCUCACACCCGACCAAUCAGGUAGUAAAGAGAGCUUGCUAAAAUGCUAAUUAGGCAAAAACAGGAGGUAAAGAAAUAGCCAGUCAUCUAUCGCCUGACAGCACAAGGGGCGGGACAAUGAUCAGGAUAUAAACUCAGGCAUUCAAGCCAGCAAUGGCUACCCACUUUGGGUCCCCUCCCAUUUUAUGGGAGCUCUGUUUUCACUCUAUUAAAUCUUUCAACUACCAAAAAAAAAAAAAAAGAAAAGAAAAACAAUUAACUUUUUUAUAUAUCAGUUAAAUUCAUCCAUGAUGUUUUUUAUGUUUUCUGUAUUCUUACUGGUCAUUUUUCUAUUUGUUCUAUCAAGUAUCCAGGAAUAUGUGUUAAAGAUGUCCACUUCAAUUGUGAAUUUCUUGAGUUGUUCUUUCAGUUUUGUUCUUUUUUUACCUUAUGCAUUUUGAAGUUGUAUUAUUUCCUGCAUACAAAUGUAGAAUUGUGGUGUCAUUCUUUUGGAGUAAACCAUGAUCAUUACUGGCAUGACUUACUUACUUACUAUCUAUCUAGACAUGUUGAUUGCUUCAAUUUCUACUUUAAUCUUAAUAAAAAUACACCAACUUUUU
rnacentral:lncRNA from 1 species